GUAAAACGCACCAAUCAGGAACUUUCCUGUCUUACCAGAGGUUUGUAAAAUGCACCAAUCAGCACUCUGUAAAACGCACCAAUCAGUGUUCUGUAAAAUGCACCAAUCAGCAGGAUUCUAAAAGUAGCCAAUCGCAGGGAGGAGUGAAAAAAGGGCAUUCUGAUAGGACAGAAAUGGAACAUGGGCGGGGACAAAUAAGGGAAUAGAAGCUGGCCACCCCAGCCAACAGCAGGAACCCGCUGGGUCCACCUUCCAUGCUGUGGGAGCUUUGUUCUUUUGCUCUUCAUGAUAAAUCUUGCUGCUCCUCACUCUUUGCCUCCCUACCACCUUUAAGAGCUGUAACACUCACAGUGAAGGUCCACGGUUUCAUUCUUGAAGUCAGCGAGACCACGAACCCACUGGCAGGAACCCACUCCAGACACAUCAUGAGACACUAAAGGAGCACUAUGGAGGGGCUCACAUGGGAGAGACAGGUCUGAAGAAAGGCUACUUCCACUGUGCAAGAACCAGAAAUGCAGCUGUACGGAGCUCCGUUACUCACUAUACAAAGUAACAUUUUAUCACACAAUAAAAGGAACUCAAAAGUUUCUCAGUGGUUCUGAAAUAAUUGCCAGAAUUCCAUUGGGUUUUUUUUUAGAAUUAAGUUAUAUGUUGCCAUUCAGUUGUGAAUCCUAUUUGGAUACAUUCUAAAAGCCUAAGAUGCCUUAUUUGGGAUCAGUGAAUAUUCACAAAGACUCUUAGAUGUUGAGAUUUCAGGGAAUAAUAAUAUAUGUGUAAUUUUCAAUUAGUUAUAUAGACCAAUACUUUUUUUUAACCAAGGAAGAACAUAAAAAACAGAACAAGCAAAAUCUUACUGUCUAUGUCAUCACAAUUGCAUACAAAAGAGAACAUUUUAAUGCUUCUCCAUCCCCCACAAUGGAGGAAGGGCAUGAUUUCAGAACAGAGGAUAGUCCUUUAUACUGAACGAAUUGAGUUCAUUACAUUGCCCUUAUUUUUUUCAUUUUGCUGGGCUAAUGAAAACUUUACUGACCAACACUCUCUGACAUAUAACAGGUAUUGAAAAACUACUAGCCUAGGGGAUAAAUCUGGCCUUUCAGCCUAU
rnacentral:lncRNA from 1 species